CAGAAAAUAGUUUAAAGUUAGAACGCUAGCUUUGGGAGCUAGUAGUGGGGGUUUAAAUCCCCCUUUUUUGA
rnacentral:tRNA from 1 species